rnacentral:lncRNA from 1 species
GACCCAAACAUUGUUUAAAACAAUAUCUAAAUCCUAUAUGGAGGGAGUAUGCUUGAACACUAAUUAUAUUUAUUAUCCAUCCGUUCCAAGUUAUAAGCCAUUUUGCUUUCCGGUUUGCUUUCUGAUCCAUGUAAACAUAUAAGGCGUGUAAUAAACAUAAAAUCCUAACAAGACUCAAACACAAACAACACAGGACGUCACGGUAGAGUAAUAACUCCCUUAGUAGCCCACGUGAUCUAGCAGCUUAACUGAGUGGCAUAAUUCAAAAGUUGAAUAGACUAUGAAAAUCUAAAUGAGACUAGUACAGUGGCGAGUUAGCUUGGCCACGUAAAAAAGUUGUGUUUACUAAUGCUUAGAUAUAUUCUGGUGUGAUAGUACAUAUCUAUAUAGAUUUCACUUGUUGCGAACAUAGUUUCUCAAUGAUAUAUAUUACAUAAUUUUAAAGAUCAAAUGGUUUCUUUCGGUAUACCUUUUUACUUCUCAAGAGUAACCUUCACGUCCGGUGUCCUGUAUGUGACACGUACCCAAAACUGCAUGCUUAUAUGAGCUAGAACAAAUCAGUGUUCAUGUCCAAAAACAUUAUUGCAACGUACGAACACGUGUACCAUAAAUAUAAAUACAAAAAACAAAGUAAAAAAAGGAUAACAAUAUAGACCUUCGAACCAUUAUCGUACUAGCAAAUAUACCUGU